rnacentral:rRNA from 1 species
CUCUGUGACUCCUACGGGAGGCAGCAGUGGGGAAUAUUGCACAAUGGGGGAAACCCUGAUGCAGCCAUGCCGCGUGUGUGAAGAAGGCCUUCGGGUUGUAAAGCACUUUCAGUAGGGAGGAAGGUAGUGUAGUUAACACCUGCAUUAUUUGACGUUACCUACAGAAGAAGCACCGGCUAACUCCGUGCCAACAGCCGCGGUAAUACGGAGGGUGCGAGCGUUAAUCGGAAUUACUGGGCGUAAAGCGCAUGCAGGCGGCCUGUUAAGUCAGAUGUGAAAGCCCGGGGCUUAACCUCGGAAUUGCAUUUGAAACUGGCAGGCUAGAGUCUUGUAGAGGGGGUAGAAUUUCAGGUGUAGCGGUGAAAUGCGUAGAGAUCUGAAGGAAUACCAGUGGCGAAGGCGGCCCCCUGGACAAAGACUGACGCUCAGAUGCGAAAGCGUGGGGAGCAAACAGGAUUAGAUACCCUGUAG